rnacentral:rRNA from 1 species
CCUUGCUGUUGAUAUCGAGCUGAACCAGGUACUUUGAGACUGAAUACAUAGGUUUCAAAGAGCAAACCCGGGGAACUGAAACAUCUAAGUACCCGGAGGAAAGGACAUCAAUUGAUACUCCCCUAGUAGCGGCGAGCGAACGGGGACCAGCCGAGCCUUGAGCGUGACUAGAAUGUGCUGGAAAGCACAGCCAUAGCGGGUGACAGCCCCGUAUAGGAAGCGUGAUGGGACGUAUUAAGUAGGGCGGGACACGUGAAAUCCUGUCUGAAGAUCGGAGGACCACCUUCGAAGGCUAAGUACUCCUUACUGACCGAUAGUGAACCAGUACCGUGAGGGAAAGGUGAAAAGCACCCCGACGAGGGGAGUGAAACAGUACCUGAAACCGAACGCCUACAAUCAGUCGGAGCCCCCUUGCGGGGUGACGGCGUACCUUUUGUAUAAUGGGUCAUCGACUUGGUCUAUCUAGCAAGCUUAAGCCGUUAGGUGUAGGCGCAGCGAAAGCGAGUCUGAAUAGGGCGCAUGAGUUAGAUGGAUCAGACCCGAAACCGAGUGAUCUAGGCAUGGCCAGGUUGAAGGUUGGGUAACACCAACUGGAGGACCGAACCCACAUCCGUUGAAAAGGAUCGGGAUGAGCUGUGCCUAGGGGUGAAAGGCCAAUCAAACUCGGAGAUAGCUGGUUCUCUGCGAAAUCUAUUUAGGUAGAGCGUCAUCCGAAUACCCCCGGGGGUAGAGCACUGGAUGGGUAAUGGGGCCCCACAGGCUUACUGAUCCUAACCAAACUCCGAAUACCGGGGAGUACUAGAUGGCAGACACACAGCGGAUGCUAACGUCCGUUGUGGAGAGGGAAACAACCCUGACCUACAGCUAAGGCCCCCAAUUCAUGGCUAAGUGGGAAAGCAGGUGGGACGACCAAAACAACCAGGAGGUUGGCUUAGAAGCAGCCAUCCUUUAAAGAUAGCGUAACAGCUCACUGGUCUAAAUAAGUUGUCCUGCGGCGAAGAUGUAACGGGGCUCAAGCCAUGAGCCGAAGCUUAGGAUGCACAUAGUGCAUGGUAGCAGAGCGUAGUGUGACAUUAGACUUCGUCUUAUUCUGGUUUUUUGUAUUGCCGCAUUGGUUCCGUGAGUGUUCGCACUCAAGUAGCCGGAGGCGGUAGUGCACAAAAGAAGUCAGAAUAGACAAAGUCUAUUCUGUGAAGCCGGGCUGUAAGGCAUCCGGUGGAGAGAUCACUAGUGAGAAUGAUGACAUGAGUAGCGACAAAGAGUGUGAGAGACACUCUCGCCGAAAGUCCAAGGGUUCCUGCUUAAAGCUAAUCUGAGCAGGGUAAGCCGGCCCCUAAGUCGAGGCAGAAAUGCGUAGACGAUGGGAACUAGGUUAAUAUUCCUAGGCCAGGAGGAUGUGACGGAUCAUGAAGGUUGUUCACCCUUAUUGGAUUGGGUGGGCCGCUAAUUGGUUCCUGGAAAUAGCCCUCCAUUAGACCGUACCCUAAACCGACACAGGUGGACUGGUAGAGCAUACCAAGGCGCUUGAGAGAACUAUGUUGAAGGAACUCGGCAAAAUACCUCCGUAAGUUCGCGAGAAGGAGGCCCGGUUCCUAGGCAACUAGGGGCUGGGGGCACAAACCAGGGGGUGGCGACUGUUUAUUAAAAACACAGGGCUCUGCGAAGUCGCAAGACGACGUAUAGGGUCUGACGCCUGCCCGGUGCCGGAAGGUUAAAAGGAGGGGUGAGAGCUCCGAAUUGAAGCCCCGGUAAACGGCGGCCGUAACUAUAACGGUCCUAAGGUAGCGAAAUUCCUUGUCGGGUAAGUUCCGACCUGCACGAAUGGCGUAACGACUUCCCCGCUGUCUCCAACAUCGACUCAGCGAAAUUGAAUUGCCUGUCAAGAUGCAGGCUUCCCGCGGUUAGACGGAAAGACCCCGUGCACCUUUACUACAGCUUCGCACUGGCAUCAGGAUUGUGAUGUGCAGGAUAGGUGGUAGGCUUUGAAGCGGUGACGCCAGUCAUCGUGGAGCCUCCCUUGAGAUACCACCCUUCGCACUCUUGAUGUCUAACCGCGGUCCGUUAUCCGGAUCCGGGACCCUGCGUGGUGGGUAGUUUGACUGGGGCGGUCGCCUCCUAAAGAGUAACGGAGGCGCGCGA